AGGAAGAUAUAGAGAAAGCUGAUGCUGUGUGCAGGAUGCUGAGUGAGGAUGGGGACUGUCUCAAGUAAGAACAGAGUGAAGUCAAGAAGAAGCACAUUACUCAGUUGAUAAAAGUGUUUUCUGUGAGGACACAGGUUAUAGCUCCAAAGUGGCUGUGGAUUCAUAUUGGAAUUGAAGAGUGCAGUAAAUGUUUUACAUGUUGGAAUCCAGAUUUCUCAAUGAGAAGUAGAAAUCUAAAGUAUGUAAGGGGAGACACGCCAAUGAUCUGUGUUGCAGAGAGUGUGAACUCAUGUUAGUGUAACAUACAUACAGAUGAAUACAUGUAAAAAUUCUGGGCAGCUUUGUUCACACAGACUUGUGCAUGCAUGUCUCUACCCUGACAGCUGGAAAGCAGUGACAGCCCCCAUAGCACAUCUAUAUUACAAGUUUUAGGUUCUAAUUAUGUACUUGAAAACUGUACUUCAUGAAGAAGAUGAUUCAAAUAGAAGACAAAGAUGAUCGCAGCAGCUUCUCUUCUUAGAAAAUCCAGAAGAGAACACAUUAUGUCCCCACAUUUGAGAUGCCCACCAAUAUGUAGUCCAGGGGAAAGCUGAAACAAUCUGAGGAACACAACUACAGAGUAUUGAAUUCCAAGGAAAAGUCCAAAGUAAGAAACCACAGUUCUUAGUGAGAUACAUAAAGUAUAGGGACUACAUGGAAUGAGGGAAUUUCCUUUUGAGUUCAAAGCAUUUGACAUACAUACUUCAUCCUCACAACUGCCCACAUUUAACAUGUGGGCUAUGUCUAAUGCCCUCCUCCUGAAGAAUAAAGUGUGGAAAUGGAAACCAGAGCUUACGGAAAGGUAGAAAAGUGACAAGCACCUACUCAGUGUUCAAGUUCAAUAUCUUCACUGAAAGAUCAAGUUGGUAGAAAAACCCUCCAAAUUUCUAAUUUUUAUUUUAGAACUGUUAAGGUAAGAUAAGCCUGGUGUGGUGGCUCGUGCCUGUAAUUCUAACUCUCAGUAUGCUGAGGAAGACGGGGUUAGCCUGGGCUACAGACAAACAAACAAUAAUGAAAUGGGGAACUUUCCAUAAAGCUCACAAGAAGAGUUGGAAAUUGAGAAAGUGUCACAGCCACAGGACACCUAAGGAAAGAAACCAGCGAAGUACUGUAUAGGGACCUGGAGGUGAUGUAGCCCUAAGGAAGGCUGAGAUAAGUGUGGGUUUAGUUAACAACAAUAUAUAAGCAUUUCUUUUUUAAAAGAAAUGUACCACAUUAAUAUGUUGGCAAUGGUGGAAGCUGGAUGUGAGCUAUAUGACAAUUGUGUAACAUUUUUGUUAUUUUUCUAUAAUUUCAAAAUUGUAUUAANNNNNNNNNNNNNNNNNNNNNNNNNNAUUAUUUUAAAAAUGAAUAUAAUUCAAAUUUAUAAGACCAACUCAUAUAUUUUAUUAAGCUUAGAUAGAUAUUCUUCCUGUUUUGUGUGUUUUGUUAACCUAAUUGCUAAACUACAAAAAUUGAAAUAGAACAGAACUUCUUAUUUAUUACUGAAGACUGUGUCUGAUGGCAUAUUCUGAUUUCUGCAAAAUAGAAAGAACAUUUUAAACAGAAGGUUUGCCCCUACAGAAGUAUUCUACAAAAACUAAAAGACAAAAGUACCAUGCACUUUCCAUGCUACUGCUGUUAAACAUGUUGUUCCUGAAAAUAUCUCACUUACUAUAAUCCAGCGUGAGAAUUCUAAGUAUACAAAGAAUGCUCAGUAUAUACUCAGUAAUAAAUGCACAUUAUUUUGGGUUAUUUCCCUAUACCUACGGGGUUUCAACCUGACAAAAUGCAUGUUUACAAAUAUCAGAGCUAAAAUGUUUCAGUAAUUAAUAAUGACUAAUAGAGCUAUUGACACGCAUAAAAUUUAUGACAAUUAUGGAGAGAGCAAAUUUGCACAUUUGUAAGCACUGUCAGAAGAUUGACUUAUUCUUGAUAGAUUGUGCAACACGUGGCAUUUUCAUUAAGGACAACCUCAAUAAUAUUAUUAUUAAACCCACAAACCAGGCUUCAAUAUUGUUUUUUCUAUACUUGUUAAUUAGGUGUAAAAAUUGCAUCAUUUUGUAAAAUAAUAUCCACUGUACUCAGAAAAGUACAGAGUUGCGAUAGAAAGUCCACUACAGUAUGCCAGCUAGAUUUUGAAGAUGUUACUCCAUCAAUAUUUUACUGAGAGUAAAAAAAUGAGCACAAGAUUAUUUGUUUAUUCUCUCCACGGUGCAGCAAUCUAUUGCUGUGCUCCAAGCAAAGUCCUGACUCUUCUACAGAGUGCAGCUUUCUGAAACCUUUGAGGAGACCUCACUGCCAUCUGCCCUUUUUAUUUGUGCUUUAAUAAAAGCCUGCUCGUCAGUCUUCAACUUGUGAAACUUAGGGGCAAAGCUCAGUGAAUAAUGGACUCUUUUAGUGCACCCUAUGUUGAACUUAGCUGAAUACUUAUGAUGUUUGACAUCUGAAUAUCCAGAAAUGAAGGUCAUUUGCAAGAUGAAGCUGUCCGUGGCACUUAGAUGGAGACACCCUACAUGGCAUGCCUGACCUUUGUAAGGGCCUUAGCUAGGGUAUCCCAGUCAUGAUGUGAAGGCAGAUUUGCUCCAUGUUAUAACUCACAUUUUGUAAAUGCAUAUGAUGCACUAGGAUUAUGGUUUCCUGAUUUUUGCCUCUCCAAUUCUGUUCUGUUUCUUUUCCUCCUUGAGUUCAAAUGAUCUCAAAUAUGAAUCUAGACUGAGGAACCACAAGCCUUUCUUCGUUUGAGAGCGUUUGCAAGGGAAUGAUGAAGACAACUGAUAACAAGUAAAUGGAUUUAUACUGAUUUAUAUAGUGAGC
ensembl:lincRNA Gm11782 predicted gene 11782